UUUUCUGUGGACUGUUUAUCUGUUACCGAUUGGACUGUUUAUUCCCUGCGACCCUUUGCUGCCUACCCUGAUCUUUGCCUGUUUCCUGGACUGUGAUUGUUUGCUGCCUGCCCUGAUCCUUGCCUGUACCCUGACUCUGUUUGUCUGCCGCCUGCCCCGACCAUUGCCUGUUACUGUUUAUGCCUCUGCCUUUGCCCUGUCUACUCUCUGGUCCCACAGUGAAGCCCUCAGUGUCUCUGCUGCCGCCCUCUUCUCUGCAGAUCUCUGGAGACUCAGCCGCACUGCUCUGCCUGCUCAGCUCUUACUCUCCACAGGGGGCGCUGGUGAGCUGGACACUGGACGGGUCAGAGGUCACCGAGGGGGUCGUGACCAGCGCAGAGAGCCAGCGGGACGGCCGCUACAGCCGCAGUAGCGUCCUGACCCUCAGCAAAGCACGCUGGGAAAAGGGAGAGGUGUACGUCUGCAGAGUAACACAUGAUGGAGCUCCUCAUGAGGUCUCGUUCCACAAGAGCUCUGAGUGCUGAUGUUUCUCUCCUGAAGAUGAGCCAUAUCUGAGUGUCCUGUGUCAGGCAGGAUUCACAUGAGUCUAGUGCUGCAGCUGUAGUGAUUUACAACUCAAUACUGAAAGAGAGCUGGCGUGUCAAAGCACUGUGUGAUCUUUCAAUCUGCUGUAACAUUCAAUAAAGCUUCUCAACAAGUUCA